rnacentral:lncRNA from 1 species
CUCUUCUGACUAGAGGUAAUCGGUAAAGAAUAGCGGAAAUGGUGUACAUUGUUUACGAGCUUGAAAUGAGCUAACACAGACGAACUGAGACGUGUCAACGUAAUGUGAAUAUGAUAAUGCACCAGGUAAUUUAUUAAUUGUUAAGUUUAUCACAUCAUCGUAUCUUCAUAUGAUAGGCAAAUAAGUGAAUUUUCGAUUUUAAGUGUCGUCAGGGUUCAAACCUGGAAUCAUGCCAACCUUUCAUUAUUAUUUUUUUAAUACUAACCUAUAGUCGGGACAUCUUGAUUUUCUCCCAAUUUGUAAAGUUAAUUAGGGACCGUUCAAUAUUUACCAGAUGGAUGGGCCGGUGCAUUCUUAAUAUUUUUUCAUUAAAAAAGCUAACGCCCAUCCUUUUAAAUUCUGAAAAAAGUCCUUGCCCAUCUAAAAAAAUCUAUAAAAAAAGUCCUUGCCCCUCUUAAACUAUAAGACAAUCAAAAAUGAUUUAGGUUCUUUUUCUAUUUUAAAGUUUUUAAAAUUUUAUGUCUUGAAAUCAAAGAAUAAACUUUGGUGUUAACACAAAAUUUAAAAUGUGCAAGUUAAUUCCAUAUAUAUGUAUACAUUUAGUUCAAAUAUGAAUAUUCCGUUAUCUGUUCUACUUUUGAAAAAAGAAAUUAUGGUCCUUUUAAGCAAAUAUAGGCAGACAUGUUUUUGAAUUUGAUGCAGCCUUUUUCGCCUAUUAAUUAAUUCCCUUAAUUUGACAACUAAACACCAAACUAUCAAAAAACCUAGCAUUCUGUUAGAUUGAUAUAUAAAUGAGAAAGCUGUACAGUUAUAUGAAAAUCUAAGUUGAUUUGAAAAAGUUAAAAAAAAAAUUAAAAGUGACCAUUCACCAUCCAAAUUUGGUCCAAACUUAAAAUUGCAGCUUUUUUUUUAAGCUAUUUACUAAAUCCAUAAAAAUGACAGCAAAAAAACAAAGUACUAAAUAGCCUGGCAUUCAGUAAGAUCAAUAUAAAAAUGAUUUAGCAGUAGAGUUUUAUGAAAAUGCAAGUUGAUGUGAAAAAGUUAUGAACAAAUUUAAAGAUGACUAUCUUGAAAUAACCUAAAACAGAAAAUUUAGCUUUUUCUUAAACCUUUUUUAUUAAAUCCAUAAGAAUGACAGCAGCACACCAAACUUCCAAACAACUUGGCAUUCUUUUAGAUCAAUAUAUAAAUGAAAUAGCUGUAAAGUUUUAUGGAAAUCCAUGUUGAUUUGAAAAAGUUAUAAAAAAAAUUAAAGAUGACUAUCUGGAUUUAGCAUAAACUGAAAAUUUGAGCUUUUUCUUAAACCUUGUUAUUAAAUCCGUAAGAAUGACAGACAUACACCAAACUACCAAUCAACGUGGCAUUCUGUAAGUUCAAUAUAUAAAUGAAAAGGCUGUAUAGUUUUAUGAAAAUCCAGGUUGAUUUAAAAAAGUUAUAAAAAACAUUAAAGAUGACUAUCUAGGUUCAGCUUAAACUUAAAAUUCUAGAUUUUUUUACCUAUUUGUAAAAUCCAUAAAAAUGACAGCAAUACACCAAAGUACCAAACAAACUGGCUUUCUGUAAGAUCAAUAUAUAAUUGAGAUAGCUCUUGAGUUUUAUGAAAAUCCAAGUUGAUUUGAAAAAGUUAUAAAAAAAAUUAAAGUUGACUAUCUGAAUUUAGCCUAAAAUGAAAAUUUGAACUUUUUUUCUUACCUAUUAAUAAAAUCCAUAAAUUUAACAGCAAUACACCUAACAACCAAACAACCUGGUUUCCUAUAAGAUCAAUAUAUUAAUGAAUAAGCUGUAUAGGUUUUUGAAAAUCCAAGUUGAUUUGAAAAAUUUACAAAAAAAUUAAAGUUGACUAUCUGAAUUUAUCCCUAACUAAAAAUUUGAGCUUUUUUUUCUUACCUAUUAAUUAAAUCCAUAAAUUUAACAACAAUACACCAAACUGUUAAACAACUUGGUAUUCCAUAAGGUCAAAAUAAUUUAUAAGAUAGUCCGAACAGAAAAUUUUAGCUUUUUUAAUCCUUAAUUAAAUCCUUAAAGUUGACAGAAAUGAACCAAGCUACCAGUUUUUGAGUGCCCGCAAAAGAAAUUUCUUACACACCGAUAAAAUGGAUAAAACAUUUUCCUAUAAAAAUGUUCUGGCCCAUCCACUAAAUAUUUAAAAAAAAAGUUCUUGCCCAUCCAAAUAUUUCCACAAAAAAAGUGCUUGCCCCGCCCCAUUUUGCACCGGCCCAUCCAUCUGAUAAAUAUUGAACGGUCCCUUAUGCUGCUUGACAUAUAUUUUUUUGGGGGAAAAAAAUUGAUAUGCAGUCAAAUGUGGCAGUUUUUAAUAUUUGUUGCUAUGUGAAAUAAAGGGAAGUAAAUUAAAGUAAAAGAAGGCGCGCUUUUUCAAAUAGUAAACAAUUUAAUUCAGAUGCAUAGUAUUUUGUCAAAUGAUAAAGAUUAUCGUAGAAACUUGCUAGAAAUUGAUCUAAUUUAUAAAAGAUAUACAACGUGACAUACUGAAAUCUGAAAAGGGGUAAAACCACCAUACCUUGAACAAAUUCAGUUAAAAAAAGGGGGGGUAAAAUGCUACGAAAUUUAGAUUUUAUUUAUUUUUUGUCGACAGCCAAAAGAUGAUUUGAUAUGUAACUAACUACUUUUUCAAUUUCAUUGUAAAGUAAAAUUGGCUUUUUUUGGGGUCUCUGUUUAUUGUGGUCUGAUGUUUUCAGGUUCUCUUUGGAUUGCCAAAUAAUAUUAUAAUCAUCUAAUUGAAUGUUCAAAUUAUUUUGCAGCGAUGGUGUGUAUGGAAGGAAGACUGUCAUAAAACCCAACAGAUCCGGAUGGCCCUUUAAAUAAUAAUUAUUGCUUAACAUUAAUAGCGAUGUAAGAUUCAAGUGUUUGAUUUAGCACAAGUUUAGCCAGGUUUUCCUUGUAAUUGUGGCAGAAAAACCACUAGACAGUGUCAUGCAUUGAAAGGAUAUCAAACGGAUAUUUUAUGGAAUGAUUCUCAUACAUAUAAAAUCAUAUGCAUAGGAAUGUGGAGCUAGUGUCUUUCAUGCAGCAAUUUUUAAUUUCCAAUAUAAACUCUGAAAAGACAAGAGCAUAGAAAUGUAUACCAAUGAGAAACAUUCUUUGUGAAUAAAAUCAUUCCAAAACUUAAAUGUAUCAUUAGUGUUGCAUUAUUUAUCAGUAGAGAUAAUCAGAUUCCAGUAAGAUUGUCCAACUGAUGGUUUUUGUUUGUAAUCAUUUUUGUAAAUCUUAGUUGUUUUGACAAUCCGGGCUGUGCAUGUUGCCCGGCUGCCCCUUUCAGUGUGAGACAAUAUUUUGUUUAUAAUAAACAAAAUCACUGAUUCAAGACUGGAG